UACGUAGGCAGCGAGCGUUGUUCGGAGUUACUGGGCGUAAAGGGCGUGUAGGCGGUUGCGUAAGUGGAAUGUGAAAUCCCCCGGCUUACCCGGGGACCUGCAUCCCAAACUGCGCGACUUGAGUAUGGGAGAGGAUGAGGGAAUUCCUGGUGUAGCGGUGAAAUGCGUAGAUAUCAGGAGGAACACCGGUGGCGAAGGCGAGUCCCUGGACAACACCUGACACUGAGGCACGAAUGCUAGGGGAGCAAACAGG
rnacentral:rRNA from 1 species